rnacentral:tRNA from 1 species
GGACGCAUAGCUCAGUUGGUAGAGCAGCUGACUCUUAAUCAGCGGGUCCUAGGUUCGGGCCCUAGUGCGUCCACCA